rnacentral:lncRNA from 1 species
GGCAGGUCUGAGGAGCUCUGGCCAUGGAUGGCCCACGUGCUGCUGCCCUACGUCCACGGGAACCAGUCCAGCCCAGAGCUGGGGCCCCCACGGCUGCGGCAGGUGCGGCUGCAGGAAGCACUCUACCCAGACCCUCCCGGCCCCAGGGUCCACACGUGCUCGGCCGCAGGAGGCUUCAGCACCAGCGAUUACGACGUUGGCUGGGAGAGUCCUCACAAUGGCUCGGGGACGUGGGCCUAUUCAGCGCCGGAUCUGCUGGGGUGAGCAGAGCGAGGGCCCCGGGCGUCUACGCCAAGGACAAGGGAGUAGUUCUCCAGGAGUGCCGCGGCCUCCUGACCAGCCUGGCUCCGGGGUGCCGGAAGGGCUGGGGUGCGGCACCCACGCCACCCCUCUCCGGCAGGGCAUGGUCCUGGGGCUCCUGUGCCGUGUAUGACAGCGGGGGCUACGUGCAGGAGCUGGGCCUGAGCCUGGAGGAGAGCCGCGACCGGCUGCGCUUCCUGCAGCUGCACAACUGGCUGGACAACAGGAGCCGCGCUGUGUUCCUGGAGCUCACGCGCUACAGCCCGGCCGUGGGGCUGCACGCCGCCGUCACGCUGCGCCUCGAGUUCCCGGCGGCCGGCCGCGCCCUGGCCGCCCUCAGCGUCCGCCCCUUUGCGCUGCGCCGCCUCAGCGCGGGCCUCUCGCUGCCUCUGCUCA